rnacentral:rRNA from 1 species
AACGAACGCUGGCGGCAGGCUAACACAUGCAAGUCGAGCGAGAUCGUUCGGAGUCUAGGCGGCGGACGGGUGAGUAACGCGUGGGAAUAUGCCCUUCUCUACGGAAUAGCCUCGGGAAACUGGGAGUAAUACCGUAUACGCCCUUUGGGGGGAAAGAUUUUAUCGGAGAAGGGAUUAGCCCGCGUUGGAUUUAGGUAGUUGGUGGGGUAAUGGCCUACCAAGCCGACGAUCCAUAGCUGGUUUUGAGAGGAUGAUCAGCCACACUGGGACUGAGACACGGCCCAGACUCCUACGGGAGGCAGCAGUGGGGAAUCUUAGACAAUGGGGGCAACCCUGAUCUAGCCAUGCCGCGUGAGUGAUGAAGGCCUUAGGGUUGUAAAGCUCUUUCAGCUGGGAAGAUAAUGACGGUACCAGCAGAAGAAGCCCCGGCUAACUCCGUG